rnacentral:misc_RNA from 1 species
GUGAGCCGUGUGCGGGAGAACCGCAUGCACGGUUCGAGGCGGCGGGAGCUGGAAACGGAGUCACGCACCUGGUCAU